rnacentral:misc_RNA from 1 species
GAUGAAGAACGUAGCGAAAUGCGAUAAGUAAUGUGAAUUGCAGAAUUCGGUGAAUCAUCGAAUCUUUGAACGCACAUUGCGCCCGCCAGUAUUCUGGCGGGCAUGCCUGUUCGAGCGUCAUUUCAACCAUCAAGCCCCAGGCUUGUGUUGGGGACCUGCGGCUGCCGCAGGCCCUGAAAACCAGUGGCGGGCUCGCUGUCACACCGGGCGUAGUAGAUUUUAUCUCGCUCAGGGCGUGCUGCGGGUUCCGGCCGUUAAAAAGCCUUUUUUACCCAAGGUUGACCUCGGAUCAGGUAGGAAGACCCGCUGAACUUAAGCAUAUCAAUAAGCGGAGGA